GCUGGGUUAGCUCAGUUGGUUAGAACAUGGUGCUAAUAAUACCAAGUUCACAGGUUCAAUCCCUGCUUACUGCA
rfam:Pelecanus crispus contig51439, whole genome shotgun sequence.